UAUAAAACAAUGUAAACAAUUUCAAAAGAAAUAAAGAAAAUUGUUACAAAAAUUAAAAAACAUAUUUUAGAGGUUUGUAAUUCUCAAAAUAUGGACGUUGGGGCUUCUUUUGUCUAUUUGGUGGAAAAAGGUAUUACGAGUAAUAAGGAUGUUGCAGAAAUUUUGAGAAAUUGCAAAACUGAAAACAUUGAUUCCUCCAGAACAAAACUUCAAUCGUAUAAAAUAUUUAAUGAACGAGACAUUUUAAAAUCGUAGAUUUGAAGUUGGAUAUUUAAACAUAUUGGAUACUUACCUAACAUUUCUUUCCUACAAGGGCACAGUUGUAAAAAUCGCAAACUAAUUUAUGAGUGCUUUUUAAAAGUUGCUUUUAAUUUCUAGAUUGAAAAUGGA